rnacentral:ncRNA from 2 species
AGAGCCUCACGUGACUGGCGAGAAAAUGUGGGAUUACCACAGGGAAGCGUGAGAGCAACAAUAGCCGCUCGCCUGGGCUGUAUCC